CAACCAUUCGCCCUCACAUUUACACCUACUGGCAAUUUGGAGUCUUCAAUUAACCUACCACGCAUGUUUCGGGGACGUGGGAGAAACACGGGGAGAAUAUCCAAACUCCACACAGAAACAAUGACUACCCUUUGGACAAAAAGAACUGCCAGCAACACCAAUGGGAUUAUCUCUCUCACAGUGGACAUGCAUCUAUGAUGAAGAUUUCAGACCCCUCCAUGAUCUCCAAGUGGUAGAACUUACAAGAUAGCCGGGUGAUCAAAUACUUAUUUUCUUCACUGUAUGGGCUUUUCAAGCUAGAGAAACAAAUACUCUGAGUGGCAAAUAGA